AUGGAGGCGCUCGCCCCGACCCCGCCUUCCUCCGCUACCUUGCCGCGCCGGCUGGCCUCACCGGAGAUCACCACCACCGUGACCAGGUCACGUCGCCGCACCUGCCUUCUCCUCCUCCCUCUCCUUCAUCCUUCCCUCCCAUCAUUUUCUCUCCCUCUCAUUGCAGCGCCGCCAUGGCUGCCCCAAGGUUCGCCGGCAGCCGCGCCCACCUCCCUCCGGCCACAACUCCAGCGGGAUCCGGCCGCCCCUGCCCGGAUCCGCAUCCUCCGCUCCGCCGCGCCCCGGAUCUGGCCACCACCAAGCCUCCCACGCCGAUCCGCCCGUCCGCCGGCCUCCCCCUGCUUGAUCCGGGUGGACGGAUUAGGGAGGAGGGUCGAGGCAGCCACGAAUUCCAUCCUGCACUACUUCAACACCGGCCUAUUCUUGCAUGAAUCUUCUGCCGUGAGACACGGUCUGCAGAUCGAUGUACUUUGUCCGUCUUUCCUUCACCAAAGCAUGCGUUGUGAGAUCAUGAUUGCUACCAGGCAACCCGGCGCCAUCGCCAAGGAGAGCGAGGAGGGGCUGGACUACGCCACCACAGAGGUGAGCUGCGAGGGGCUCCGGCGUCUCUGCAUAGGAGGGGGAGAGAAGCCGCCACCGCACCACGUGAUUCUGCUUGAAACUCCUCGGAGCUUGCACCAGGAUCAAAUCUUAAUCGAUUCUAAGCUCACUAGAAUACCGGAGGUCAUGGAGGAAAAGAGCGUGUAUGAUCGUGAUGAGGCCGAGCGUUUGGCUGCCGCUGUGCGGGACCACAAGAGCAUCAGCGAGAUCUGUGACCAUAUGCUGCUCCUUUCCUGCGAGAGGAAUUCUCCGGCAGUUACGAGGACGACCAGAACACGUCCGCCUGGAAGCAGCGGAGAGCUAUCCAACGGCCCACCACGCUCCGGCCCCGGCGUCCCAAUCCCUACCUCUCUCUCCUUCUCGUCCCAUUCCAGAGAGCCGCCGCCCCCUCUCUCCCCCACCCCAGCUGCUCUGUCCUCACCGGCGACCUCCUCCUCCGCCGCCGGCCACCAACCCCUCCCCUCACCAUCUCUGCCUUCCCUUUGCCCCAGAUCCACCAAUCCAUGGCACUGUCAGCGAAUCCGAGAACAAGCCCGCCUCCUCCUUGUGAUUGUUGCUCGAGCUGCUCUUAGACGGAUCCACAGCGACCACACGGCAGAUCUGCAGCGUCUUCGGCUGAUCCACGGUGCCCUGAGCCCUACCCAGGCCCACUUCGCCAGCUCCUGCUCGUCGGCCGGCCGGCGGCUCCGCGUGAGGGCGUCUCGCGUCUCGCUGGCUCCCCACGCGGCCUCGCCGCCGCAUGUUUCAUGGGGUGGGUGCUAUGGACCCGAGCUUUCCAUGCUCUGUAGAUCAGUGGAGUCUCGAGGAUCUGGGGCGCCCAUCAGGGGGCUAGUCUGGGCGAAGGCCGGUGGUUCGUUCAAGCAAGAUCGCAUUGCGUCUUGGUCACCUAUGCACGCACGCACCACCGAGCUGCAGAUAAAUGAUGAGAUACAACAAGAAAUCUUAGAAGGUUUGGUAGUUGAUGUCGUGGAUGAACAAGAGACAGAUGAAGCUUGA
rnacentral:rRNA from 1 species